GUCUCUCUCCGCACAGAUCGGAUGCCGGCUUGAUCCGCUCCCUUCGCACCGUGCCGGCGGGAUUGCGCCCGGAUAAAGUCAGCUCGGGGGAAGGCAAGAGCACGGUUCAUACACUCCCGGCCGCAGCCAUGAGCAGGGGUAUCAGUCACCGGUCCCACCUCACUCGCAGCUGUCCGAAGUUGCUGGGCUGGCUGGAAUCUUAAGCACGCCAACAGGUUGGCAGGCUGAUCAUUCUGCUUGCAUGAAGCUUGGCAGGGAAAUGCUGGCCUCGGUGGUGAAAGAUUAUUUCACAUGAGCAGCACUCUUCGGGAAAGCUGUUGCCAGAUAAGGUGGCGACUGUACUUUGAAGAGGAACAAUGAGAAGUGACAGACAAGACCGUGUUUACCAAACUGAAUAGAGGACUCGCAGGUUUCCACUCACUGCUCGGUUACCUAAGCCCAGGGAAUCAAGGCUGGAGUGCUGUUUCACCAAGCCGGAUCAGUAACAAAGUGACUUCAUUCUCUGUUUUCAACCAGAGAAUAUGCGGGUGCUAUGUAUUUAUGAAGUGCUGGGCUGAUUCCUGUGAGAGGAUGUGCAGUGUCCCUUUUCCUUUGCCAGGCAGACCAGAGAACAUUUGCCCAUACUUCACGAGAACUGGACUGCACAUCCACUGUACCCAGACUUGUUUUAGAGUGAGCACUUUCAGUAUCACGACAUAAUUUCCAGGGCAGCAGCUGGCAGCAGCAUCAUUAUUAACUACCUUCAAGGACACAGUGUGCAGAUAGACUGGAACUAACUUCUGGGGCUUCACUUAGGACGCAGGUUGACUGUCGCUGAAUGAGAGAUUUUGAAGAAAUUAACCUUAGCAAAGAUGCAAAAGGAGAAGAAAGGCAAUGGUAAAGUCCAAAGUGGUAUUAUUCUAGAGACAAAAAGAGACUUCAAAAAUUUUUGAAGAGUGUUUUGAAAUAAUUUUACCCACUAAUACUAUAAUAAAGCAGCCAGAGAUACAAUGGUACCA
rnacentral:lncRNA from 1 species